rfam:Brachypodium distachyon strain Bd21 chromosome 1, whole genome shotgun sequence.
GAUGUACUUCCUCCGUCCAACAAAGGAUGUCUCAACUUUGACUAAAUUUGAAUGCAUCUAUACACUAAGUCAUGUCUAGAUACAUCCAAAUUUUGACAAACUUGAGACAUCUUUUGUUGAAUGGAGGGAAUGCAAU